AGGGUCUCCAUCGAGGGCGCGCGUCCACACGCCGGCUGCGGGGCUCUGGGGAGCAGGGGCCUGUGUUGAGGGGGUGUCCUGCAGGGCGCCAUCAGCCCAGUGCCCUCUACCGUGUGGCCGGAGGCUGUUCCGGGCCUGCCGUGGGGAAAACGCCGGCAGCUUCCUGGAGAGUUUGUUUUGGGGCUGCAUUCGACCUUGGAAACUAGGAUGGCAAUCUUGGUCCUGCCCUUGGAGAACCAGGCUGAAGAUGAAGACAACAUCUGCAGGAAUAUACGUGGCAGACCCUCGAGCUGCAGAGAAUCCUGACCCUGGUGAAACCCAGCGACCUAAAGCAGUCCCAUCACUGGACUUUCCGGUCUGCCCACUAUUCCCUCAGCCAUCUGCUGUGGCAGCAGCUUCCGGUUGCAUGUGA
rnacentral:lncRNA from 1 species